rnacentral:tRNA from 1 species
GGUUUCAUAGCUCAAUCUGGUAGAGCAGAUAACUGAAACUUCUCGUAGCGUUGGUUCAAGUCCAUCUGAAACCA